rnacentral:rRNA from 1 species
GACGAACGCUGGCGGCGUGCUUAACACAUGCAAGUCGAACGGAAAGGCCCUGCUCUUGUGGGGUGCUCGAGUGGCGAACGGGUGAGUAACACGUGAGUAACCUGCCCUUGACUUUGGGAUAACUUCAGGAAACUGGGGCUAAUACCGGAUAUGAGCUCCUGCUGCAUGGUGGGGGUUGGAAAGUUUCGGCGGUUGGGGAUGGACUCGCGGCUUAUCAGCUUGUUGGUGGGGUAGUGGCUUACCAAGGCUUUGACGGGUAGCCGGCCUGGGAGGGUGACCGGCCCCAUUGGGACUGAGAUACGGCCCAGACUCCUACGGGAGGCAGCAGUGGAGAAUAUUGCACAAUGGGCGGAGGCCUGAUGCAGCAACGCCGCGUGCGGGAUGACGGCCUUCGGGUUGUAAACCGCUUUCGCCUGUGACGAAGCGUGAGUGACGGUAAUGAGUAAAGAAGCAACGGCUAACUACGUG